rnacentral:rRNA from 1 species
AUUGAACGCUAGCGGGAUGCCUUACACAUGCAAGUCGAACGAGUGGCGAACGGGUGAGUAAUGUAUCGGAACGUGCCCAGUAGCGGGGGAUAACUAAGCGAAAGCGUAGCUAAUACCGCAUACUAUUGGAGCGGCCGAUAUGGGAUGAGCUAGUGGGUGUGGUAACGGCUCACCUAGGCGACGAUCCCUAGCGGGUCUGAGAGGAUGACCGGCCACACUGGAACUGAGACACGGUCCAGACUCCUACGGGAGGCAGCAGUGGGGAAUAUUGCACAAUGGGCGCAAGCCUGAUGCAGCCAUGCCGCGUGUAUGAAGAAGGCCUUCGGAUUGUAAAGUACUUUCAUCGAGGAGGCGUUACUCGCAGAAGAAGCACCGGCUAACUCCGUGCCAGCAGCCGCGGUAAUAC